rnacentral:rRNA from 1 species
UACGAAGGGGGCUAGCGUUGCUCGGAAUCACUGGGCGUAAAGGGUGCGUAGGCGGGUUUUUAAGUCAGGGGUGAAAUCCUGGAGCUCAACUCCAGAACUGCCUUUGAUACUGAAGAUCUUGAGUUCGGGAGAGGUGAGUGGAACUGCGAGUGUAGAGGUGAAAUUCGUAGAUAUUCGCAAGAACACCAGUGGCGAAGGCGGCUCACUGGCC